GGAGUCAUUCUGUGACCACAGGCCUCAGUGGAGCUCUCUGGGUACAAAUACAAAUGGAACUGCUGGGACACACUGUGGUGGGAACGGAGACCCUGUGACGGAGCUGGGAAACGCUUGGGAGGGUGGAGCAGCGCAGCCUCCUGUGGCGACAAGGCCAUCCAGACCCUGAUGUGAACAGCAGCUGCCUCUCCUCUGCCACUGCCAGUCCAGCCCCACCCACGCUGGACUCUGCUCCCCUCUCAUCCAGCUCUCUCCAAGCCUUGGUGAGCCACAAUUAACAGCAAUGCUGGCAGUGGCUUACACAAGCUUUUGAUGGGAGAAACGCUAUGCUGAAGGUUAUGAAAGCAGGUUCUGGAACCCUAGCCACCUGGGUUCUAAUCUGGGUUCCACGACUCAACAGCAGUGUGGCUUUACAAAAGCCACUCGGGAUCCCUAAAGCCUCAGUGUUCCAAUGUAAGACACAUCAGCCCUCGCAGGGUUAUGAUCAUCCAUUGAGAUCAUAAAACAUGAAAAAUGAAAGAAGUAUUUUGAGCCCAGAAUAUAUCCGGCAAUAUGCUAGGCCAUGUGGAUACUCAAUUGAAAGCCAUCAUUACUCUUUUUGAAGAGGUCAUGACCAAGUGUGAUUGAAUUAUCAAUGAAUUAUGAUGCAGCAUCUUAGACGACCAGCCCCAUACAAUGGUACUUUGUGCAAGAGCUCUCUGCAUGGGCCGGCCGGGCCCCCUUCCCUGCGCCUGCCAACGGGAGGAGACGCGAGGCGCUGGGAGCUCCAGAGUGGGCGAGGACUUCGGGCAGACCCGGCGUUGCUGUUGGACAUCAUUCAGAAGUCCCCGCUCAGCGGGGGCAGCCCGAAGAGCAAAACAAACAGAGCGAGGAGUAGUGGAAAAUGCUGAGUCCUGGAGCUGGCCGGAACGGCCUUCGCCUUUCCACGCCCAAAGCCAGCCGCUCUGCCCACCUGCAGCUGCAAUAGCAAGCAGGGCCGCAGCAGGCAGGGAGGCCUUGGCACCAGAGCCCGUCCAGGGCUGGGAAGGCGGGGAACAGACACUCCUCUCUCUUCAGACAGGCCCUCCAGAGUCCUCACCCUGAAGGCUGAGGUCUUUUUCUUGUUCCAGGAGUCCAGUGAAAAAAUAGUUCUCAAAAAGGGAGAAAAAGACUUUCUUGAACUGCAGUUUCAGAUUUACUAAUAGUGUCCAUUUACAUAGCUCCUACUAAAUGUCAAGCACCAACACAGAUGAAUUGGCAAUCACCAUGUCAGUCCUGCGAGGUUGGUACUUUUAUCCCCAUUUCACAGAUGAAAAAAGCCAGGCACAGAGAAGUCAAAUAACCCAAGUUCACAAUGCUCAACAAUGGCAGGGCCAGGAUUUACAACCUGGUUUAAAAUUUAAAACGUAGGAUUUAAAACCUACUUUACAGUCUUAAAGGUGACUGCCUUUUCUCUUCAGCUUAUUAGAUUUCCUCUCUAGGAAUACAAGAUGUGCAACACAAAGAGAGGAAACUCAAGAUGGAGAGUAAAGGGAAUGAAUGAGAGACAGGAGAAUCACCAAGGACUAGAAUAAUACAAAAGAUUUAUUUAAAAAGCAGGUGGCCAUCGGCCCAGGAGAAGGAGUGUGAGACCAAGGUACAGAAGUGGCAAGAAAUGCUGAGCUGGGGCUGGAAGGUACGACAGUACUAGUCAGACAGGCACCUGUUCUGUCCAAAACAGGAUUCCAGAAGUAAUGUGAAGAGGUCACUUGGCAAAGGGGGCUCACACAGCUCUAGGGGGAAACUGAGGAUCAGCAGCUGGAGCAGAGAAAUAGAGAAAUGAACACCUUCUUUCUUUCCAAUUACAGCCGCAGUGGAGGCAGAUGCCCAGGGCUCCUAGGAGAGACAGAUCGCGAUUAGAAGAGAGGGCCUAUGGCUGUCAUGCAGGGAGGUCUGUCCGUUCCUCUAAGCCAAGAGCUCUUGUCCCCAGAGGAAAGAGGAGAAGGAAGAAAGGAACAAACAAAUGAACAGAGGAAGGAAUGAAAAGAGAGAGAGAGAAGGAGGGAGGAAGGGCUGGAAGGAAGAAAGGAAGGGGCUGUUUUUUUCUUGUGUUUGGAAGAACAAGCUGCCAACCCUCAUUAAAUGCAUAGGAUUGGCUUUAGAGUUACUACACCUAAAUUCUAAUUCUGUCUCUGUCACCGGUUAGUAAUGUGAUCUCAUGGAAAUCACUGGAACACCCUUAACCUGAAACCCAAUGUCUAUACAAUGAGGACACUGGAAUUCACCUCUAAGGUUCUCUCUGGAUCUAAAAUCUACACUCUGAUGAUACUGAGACCAAGGACAGGGACUUUGAUUGUUGCCUUUUCAUGCCACCGAAGGUCUACAUCCUAGCACAGUGCCCACCACCCAUCCACACCGACCAGUCACCCAGGGCUAGUGAUUCUGUGUUCUCAACACCUCUCUGAUGUGCCAUAGCUGCUUCUCUUGUAUGCAUCUCUUCUGAGCAUGAAACGGUUUUCCAACUGGUCUCCCUGCCUCCACCCUUGUCUGGCUCUGAUUCAUGUUCUGCUCCACAGUCAGAAUGAUUUUCCUAAGCACAGGUCGGAUCAUGUGACUUAGCCUGCUGGAAGAGCCUCAGGACUCCACGUCACUCUUCACACAGCCCACAGGGCCCUGGAUCAUCUCCACACAUUCUUGCUGUCCUCUCCUCACACCCACACUCUUUUGCACUCUGUGCUCUAGAUCCAUAAAACUACUUCCAGUUUCUCCACCAGUGUACACACUUUCUCACCUCUCAGCCUCUGGACAUGCAUUCCCCACCACUGGAACCUCUUUCCCUCCCCACUUAACUAACUGCUACUCACCUGCAGGCCACACAUUCCUUCAGGUUAGGUUCCUCCUAUGUGUCAAAUCAUAUUGUUAUUUCACUGGAUGGUGUUCCCCCUUUGUCUAUAAAUUGUAAUUUACUGGAAGUAGAGUGAAGGAAAAAAAAGUGUGUUUACCUUC